rnacentral:rRNA from 1 species
GAUGAACGCUAGCUACAGGCUUAACACAUGCAAGUCGAGGGGAAACGGCAUUAAGUGCUUGCACUUUUUGGACGUCGACCGGCGCACGGGUGAGUAACGCGUAUCCAACCUUCCCAUGACUAAGGGAUAACCUGCCGAAAGGCAGACUAAUACCUUAUGGUCUUCACUGACGGCAUCAGAUGUGAAGUAAAGAUUUAUCGGUUAUGGAUGGGGAUGCGUCUGAUUAGCUUGUUGGCGGGGUAACGGCCCACCAAGGCAACGAUCAAUAGGGGUUCUGAGAGGAAGGUCCCCCACACUGGAACUGAGACACGGUCCAAACUCCUACGGGAGGCAGCAGUGAGGAAUAUUGGUCAAUGGGCGAGAGCCUGAACCAGCCAAGUAGCGUGCAGGAAGACGGCCCUAUGGGUUGUAAACUGCUUUUGUAUGGGGAUAAAGUCAAUCACGUGUGAUUGUUUGCAGGUACCAUACGAAUAAGGACCGGCUAAUUCCGUGCCAGCAGCCGCGGUAAUACGGAAGGUCCGGGCGUUAUCCGGAUUUAUUGGGUUUAAAGGGAGCGUAGGCUGGAGAUUAAGUGUGUUGUGAAAUGUAGACGCUCAACGUCUGACUUGCAGCGCAUACUGGUUUCCUUGAGUACGCACAACGUUGGCGGAAUUCGUCGUGUAGCGGUGAAAUGCUUAGAUAUGACGAAGAACUCCGAUUGCGAAGGCAGCUGACGGGAGCGCAACUGACGCUGAAGCUCGAAGGUGCGGGUAUCGAACAGGAUUAGAUACCCUGGUAGUCCGCACAGUAAACGAUGGAUGCCCGCUGUUGGUACCUGUAUCA